rnacentral:lncRNA from 13 species
GUUUCCCUGGACCCCAGGGACAACCUGGAGGUCCAGGACCAGAAGGGGACAGUGGACCUCCAGGGCCCCAAGGUCCAGAGGGCCCCGAGGGACAACCGGGUCCAAAAGGUACACCCUUACACCCCUUUAAAGAUGCAGUCUGGGAUCUUAAGCACUUAUACAUUCGUAACAUAUCAUACGAAUUGCAAAAAUAAUUAAAACUGGGACCUGCUUUGGCUCAUGAGCACUAUUUUCAAAUCUACUGGCUAAAAUUAUACAAAAGCUCUGGAGCAUCACAUGAACAAUGUUUAUCACUCAAUGUGGAUCCUUUGUGUAAGUUAAGCCAACUUAUAUCUUCAUUAGGUGAGGCUGGCGUUCCAGGUGCUCCAGGUAUCCCUGGCUACUCCAGUGGUGGAUUAUCCAGGAGUUCCCCUGGAGCACCAGGUCCACCUGGACCUCCCGGGGCUCCCGGCCGCGAUGGGCCACCUGGGUCUGGGUCUGGAACACCGGACAUCCGCCAAUACAUCACAGAAUACCUCAAGAGCGAUGGUGUCAGGGAGUACAUGUCGGGACCUCCGGGUCCUCCAGGUGUACCGGGACCCCCUGGUGACGGAUCAGUGGAGUCAGUGGACGAUCUUGCUAGUCGCGUUAUCGCGUACAUCCAGAGUGAGUCCAGACAAACCAACAUCUUAUCAAAAGCAGUACAUAUAUGAAGUAUAUCAUAUUGUAUGUGUACCUGGAUCUAAUACUCUGUUGACAUUUCAGGUGGCGGUAUUGCUAGUGGGGUGCCUGGACCUCCAGGCCCGCCUGGCGCUCCCGGUGGAGGCAGUACAUCGCUAAAUGACAUCAUCAGCCUUCUACAGAGUGAGGAAGUGCGACGCUACGUCGUUGGUCCUCCUGGCCCUGCUGGACCUCCUGGCAUCCCAGGGAUCCCAUGGAGAGGAGGCUAUGGCUUUAAUACCCAUGAGGUGGCUGGACGGGUCCUCACUCUAAUGAAUGAUGCUGAAUACAGAGGUGCCUUGGGCGCUCAGGGGCCUCCUGGGCCACCUGGUGUCCCAGGCCCUGCUGGCCCUCAAGGCCCUGCUGGUCCUUCAGGACAGGCCUCCUACAGCAGCUCUGGAUACAGGCUGGAGGAGGUCAAGGACUACAUACAGAGUGGUCUAAGAGGGGGAAUGUUUGGGCCCCCAGGCCCCCCAGGUCCCCCUGGACCUCAGGGACACAAGGGAGAGCAGGGUAACUCUGAGUACGGCCACGCCUUUGACCACAGGACCAGCGAGGGAAGAAGGCUGCCUGAGACUGAGACAGACUUCUCCAAUAUAGCGGUCCGAGUGACUGACUACAUCAAGUACCAUGGUCUGUUGAGGGACGUGGUUGAGAACCGGUCUCAGCUGGAGAAGUCACAGGUUGUUCAAGGACCCCCAGGACCCCCUGGCCCUCCCGGUGCUCCAGGAUUCAGCCGUGUGUUUGGUUCCCAUAGUAACGUCACUGACCUUAUGGAAUACAUCAGAGCCCAUGGAAACACUGUGGGACCCCCUGGAAGGCCAGGACAGAAAGGGGACAUAGGACAUACAGGUCAUAAAGGCGAGAGAGGUACCUUUUAA